rnacentral:lncRNA from 1 species
GCGGUGGCGGUUAAGAUUGUUCUUGAUACGAAGGUGAAGGUGAAGAUGGGAUCUGUGAAAAGCCCUAAGUCGGGGAUUAGGGUUACUUGCGAAGGGAUUAAAGCGGCGGGUCCGUCGGGGAAGAAGGCGACGACGGCUGCUACCUCGGGCGCGAAGUGUAAGGUUGAUCUUAGGAUCAAGAUCUGGAAAUUUACUUUUUAACCGUUGGGGUAAAAAAGGAAAUGUAAUUCACGUUCGUAGUUUUUUUUCUCAUCUUUCCAUUGUUUCAAUUUUCGUUUUCUUCUUAAUUUGAUUUCAUAUACAGUUCUUCGAUUCCCGUAAGACUUUAUUUUUUGGUUUAUGUAAAUGAGAUAUAUAAUAUAUUUGUGUUCGGUCUGAGCUUCACUGUUUUCUAUUAUUUUGUGAAAAAUGUUUGAUUUGUUAAACAAAAGAAGUUUAAUCAGUUGAUUAUAGUUAUUGUUACUGUUCGAAUUUGAUUAAGAGAGGGUCAUCUAGGGCACAAAGAACAAAAGAAAAGCGAGAAGAAAACGCAGCAUGCUUAUUUAAUUAAUUAAUAUGGGGGUAAUAAUGCAAGUGAUGUGACGACUACUAUAACUUCUGCAAGUGCUAUGGACAGUUAAUCUCUUAAGUAGACAAUUAAGCCGAGCUACUCUUAGUUGUAACAAUUAAUUGAGCCUGCCAUGUGGUCCAUGUGUGUAUGAGAAUAUACUCAUAAACAUACCCAUAUUAAGAACCUAUCAACUAUUGCUUCACAACGAAUGUAUAUAAUUGGUGUCUAUUAUUAAUCUCCAGGUCUGUUGGGUGGUGUAUGUUUAUUAAUAAAAUGUGGGCACAAAGUAAGUGAUAAGGUCUAGAAGGUGUUGGUGAAUAUGUUCGAUUCAACUUUAACAAGCACAAGCAAAGCUACGAUGAAUCAUGAUUGAAAAGCAGGUCUUAUGUAAUUAUCAACAACAAAAAAGAGAUUAGGUGUUAUGGUGUAAAACGACGACUAACAUGUGAUGGAAUUUGUUCGUUUUCCACAAAAUAAUAUAUAAAAAAUAAAGCAGUUGCAAAAUCUUCUUAUAUCAACUCAGGAAACCAAUUUUUUUAUUUUGAGUUGGUUAGUUUAAUCAGUUAUGAACUUAUGAAUAUAAUAUCAGAGUGCGAAGGGAAUAGGUGCACAUAAAAGUGCUAGAAGAAUUUUACCUUAUGGACCAAUCACAAUGUUUUAGUAAAUAUUUUGGGUUUAAAGAAACUACAAACCAGUCUAAAAUUUCUAUUCACAAGAACUAAUUUAUUUUGGUGAAUAUCUCCACACAAAAAGAAGAGACUAUUUUAGUUGUAAAACUAUAAAAUCCAUGAUGGCAGCAACAAAAAAUAUUUAUUCUUUCAGUUUUCUACACAACUAUAUUUUCUUAUUCUUCCAUACAGGUAUUAAUGUAUUAUAUUGAGUUAAAUGUGCUAUUAUUUUAUAUUUAAAAAUACAAAAUAUAUAGUGUGAAUACAUUUAUGAUUAUAGUGUGAACGCGUUAGCAUAUUUAUUAUCAAAUCAUUGUGAGGUUGCCACGUGUCUAUUAUAGUGUGAAUGCAUUUAUUACAAUGCUUCUCCUUUAAUAUAUAAGGGAUAAGAAUGUCAAAUUAUUGUAGUCACUUGUGUCAUUACGUUAACGUUACAGGGCUUACCGUUCCGGUUGGAUUAGGGACAGGGCCGGCUCACUAUUACCGAAGGCUCUUGAGCAAAAAUUUUGUUAGAACCCUACAAUUGGCUAGUUUUGUAACUAAGAACUUUUUGACUCAAUCAUCACAACAAUACACAUUUCUAUUAGGUAUUUUAACUAGAUAAGUAGAAAUUUCAUGUUUUUAUGCUGUCUAACUCUGGAUCAAAUAUGCUAAUUUUAAGAAUUAAGACCCCUAAUAUUAUUACAGUUUAGACUAGGCUCCGGGGCGGUCGCACUGGCCGCCCCUGAUUAAAGAAACUACAAACAUUAGGAAACUCGGUUGGAUCAAGGAAACUACAAACACUAGGAAAUUGAGAUCAAACGGAAGUAAAAAGGUUAAGCCUCAAGAGGUACGCCAGUUUCUUAUACGUACGACAUGGAAGAGUAAACUCAGGGGCAACAAUGCCAAGAAACGGGUUAAUAAGUCUGAUCUGAUUUGUUAAUAACAAAUUGUUAUUUGAGUUAUGGAAGAAAGUAACCAAUGAACAUGGGCUUUCUCCCUUUUGUGUGUGUUACUACUUACUAGUGAAUGUAAAAAAGUAAGCGUAUACCGUUGACUAAUAACUUAAAUCCUCAAUAGUCAUAUGGUAAGUUGGCUUCAAUAUUAUUAUUACCUUCUUUUUUUUCUUAACUAGGCACAUUGUUCUGUAUAUAAUCUUGCUACAAAAUUUCAAACCAACAUAAGGCAUGCAAGUUUUCUUACAUUUCGUAAUAGUAAAGGAAGAGAUCAAUCAUAUGAUUCAUAUCACAUGCAUAUGCAAUGUUGCUCCAUGCUAAACGUAUGUGAUAGUGCGUGCGGAUAAUAUGCAAUAUUUUGUUUGUUUUUUUGAAACUAAAAAGGAUUCUUUUUCUCAUCACGUAUUUACAUAUAUGUACGUAUAUCCGAAAACCCCAUAUAAAAACUUCUUUUCACAUUGCUUAAAUAUAUGAAAUUGCUUGCUUUAAAUAAGAUCUAAAUGAGAAAGGGACUAAGCAUCAGUUCUUUUUUAAAUUUGGAAAGGAACUUUCAUAUAUCUUUGCUUCAAUACAAAGGCAAUUAUGUUUGGUGUACGAUUUCACGUUUCAACUCAAAAUUUUGUUUCUACAUUUUUAAAAAUAAACUCUUCUAUCUUUCGUCAUUUUGAAAAUGUAAAUAUGUGAUAUACUCUACUAAUUUAGCAAUAUAUUGCUGUAAAUAGACAUAUCACGAUUAAAACGGACCACAAAAUAUAUCUUCAAAAAAAAAAAAAACGGACCACAAAAUAUGUACGUAUUAAAUAAUGUCACCAAAAAUGCUUAGCAAAUAACAACUGGAACCCUCGUGACUUUUUUAGCACCGUCUACUUUUUUUUUUUGAACAACAUAGCACCGUUUACUUACUCCCGAAAAGCGUGACACGAACGCGCUCAUGCGACGCGCGUAAGCACCAUCUUCCCGCGUUGAGCUGUCACUCUCUUUGUCGGUCUCCGUCGCUUUUUUUCCAUCGCUUCCUCUCUCAUUCUCCACCACUUUCAUUAUUAAACUAAUCAGCCAUUAGAAGAAAAAAGCUUCACUGUAACUCUCCCACAACCAUUUAAAACGCCAUUACAUUUCAACCACUCUUUUCAUCUCUCUCUCUCUCUCUUCUCUUCGAAUCUCCGACAUGACAGACGACAGAGUUUACCCAUCGUCGAAACCUCCCGGCGCAGCCACCGCCAACCCCACUUUCCCGGCGAACAAAGCUCAGCUCUACAGCGCUAACCGCCCAGCUUACCGUCAACCGGCCUCCCGCCGCCGCACGCAUAGCCGCGGAUGCUGCUGCCGCUGCUGCUGCUGGACGAUUUUCGUGAUCCUCCUCCUGAUCGCCGCCGCCGCCGCCGCGUCCGCCGUCGUGUACCUAAUCUACCGUCCUCAACGCCCGAGCUUCACCGUGUCUUCCCUCAAAGUCUCCUCUCUCAACUUCACCUCCGCCAACCACCUCGCCACCGCCAUCUCCCUCUCCGUCAUCGCCAAGAACCCCAACAAGAACGUCGGGUUCAACUACGACGUCACCGACAUCACGGUCUACAAAACCUCUCCCGGAGACGAUGACGUCGUCAUCGGUAAAGGCUCGAUCCCGUCGUUUGUCCACGGGAAGAAGAACACGACUCUGCUGAAAUCGACGAUCGGGAGUCCUCCCGGAGAUCUUGAUGAGCUGUCGGCGGGGAAGCUCAAGGGGGAGCUGAAGGCGAAGAAAGCGGUGGCGGUUAAGAUUGUUCUUGAUACGAAGGUGAAGGUGAAGAUGGGAUCUGUGAAAAGCCCUAAGUCGGGGAUUAGGGUUACUUGCGAAGGGAUUAAAGCGGCGGCUCCGUCGGGGAAGAAGGCGACGACGGCUGCUACCUCGGGCGCGAAGUGUAAGGUUGAUCUUAGGAUCAAGAUCUGGAAAUUUACUUUUUAACCGUUGGGGUAAAAAAGGAAAUGUAAUUCACGUUCGUAGUUUUUUUUCUCAUCUUUCCAUUGUUUCAAUUUUCGUUUUCUUCUUAAUUUG